rnacentral:rRNA from 1 species
CCUACGGGUGGCUGCAGUGAGGAAUAUUGGUCAAUGGGCGCAAGCCUGAACCAGCCAUCCCGCGUGCAGGAAGACGGCCCUAUGGGUUGUAAACUGCUUUUCCAGGGGACGAAUAGUUUCUACGUGUAGAGACCUGACGGUACCUUGGGAAUAAGCAUCGGCUAACUCCGUGCCAGCAGCCGCGGUAAUACGGAGGAUGCAGGAUUCAUCCGGAUUCAUUGGGUUUAAAGGGUGCGUAUAAGGAUGCGGUGAAAUCCUACAGCUUAACUGUAGAACUGCCAUUGAUACUGUUAGUCUUGAGUUUGGUUAAGGUAGGCGGAAUGUGUAAUGUAGCGGUGAAAUGCUUAGAUAUUACACAGAACACCAAUUGCGAAGGCAGCUUACUGGACCGACACUGACGCUGAGGCACGAAAGCGUGGGGAUCGAACAGGAUUAGAUACCCCAGUAGUC